AGCGAACGCUGGCGGCAGGCCUAACACAUGCAAGUCGAACGAAGUCUUCGGACUUAGUGGCGGACGGGUGAGUAACACGUGGGAACGUGCCUCUAGGUUAGGAAUAACUCAGGGAAACUUGUGCUAAUACCGAAUGUGCCCUUCGGGGGAAAGAUUUCUCGCCUUUAGAGCGGCCCGCGUAUGAUUAGCUAGUUGGUGAGGUAAAGGCUCACCAAGGCUACGAUCAGUAGCUGGUCUGAGAGGAUGACCAGCCACAUUGGGACUGAGACACGGCCCAAACUCCUACGGGAGGCAGCAGUGGGGAAUCUUGCGCAAUGGGCGAAAGCCUGACGCAGCCAUGCCGCGUGGAUGAUGAAGGUCUUAGGAUUGUAAAAUCCUUUCACCGGUGAAGAUAAUGACUGUAGCCGGAGAAGAAGCCCCGGCUAACUUCGCGCCAGCAGCCGCUGUAACAC
rnacentral:rRNA from 1 species